GUAGCUUAAAUCGGUGUAUCACGAGACUCGUGAGGAUCUCUUAAGCAGACUCGCGUGUAGCCUUAAGGGAUGGAUUCUUACGACGGAAGGGAAGCUGCUGGAGAGAAGAAUUUGACGGAUAAGAUACACGAGGAUCGGAAGACAGUGGAAAGAAAUUCGAUGAGGCGAAGGAGCGGCUGACCGGAAGUACGUUACUCGCCGCGUGGGUCGAUACUGUUGGAACAUCGGUACAGUGCAAACAGCUUCGAUAACAAACGUGCCCACUCCCACAAGCUUGUUUGCAGUUAAGAGCGGUGCGAGGGCUUACAGGGAGAUACCUGUUACCCCGUCGCUUAUUUCCCCUUGUUCCCAGAACUCCAGUCGAAAUUCGCGACAUAACUUUCCGGCUGGUUGAGCCUAAGUUAAACGCGCGUUAAUGCAGACGUCGCGUGGGAUUCUUUAAUCGUAAACUCGUUUACGAUAGGUUUGUGAACGGCAGAGUGGCAGAGGCGUGUGCUGGAGUUUGCGUUGGGUAUUCUAUUCUGGUAAAAGCGUGUAUUACGAGCCGGCGUAAUUCUCAUGAUGUAGUUCGUUGUACGGUGAAAUCACCGGCCCGUAACACGGUCACGAAGCAACACGAGCGUUCUUGUAAUUAUUAACUCGUCAUUAAUUAGUAUGAAUUCAAUUAAAUGGCCAGAGCAACCGGCUAUUACCUGGCCAAUUACAGAAUCGAAUGAUUGAAAGACACAUCAACGAUUAGAUAAUCCUUAAAGCGAGCCAGAGCCACGCGCGAGCCACCGCACAGGAUCGGUUAUAUUGUUCCACGAUAGAAAUCAACCACGCGUUGCAAUCAUCGAAAGUAGAUUGCAAGAAGUAAUCUUAAUUGCGAUAUGACGUAACCAGAUAAUUUUUUAUGUUUCAGCCGUUUCCACGUUGCGUCGUACUAACUUUUCCAAGUUUGAUGCUUUGAACUUUGAUCUAUCGAUCGUACGGCGAUAUGACACGUUCGAUUUAGUAUUUGCGUCAUGAUCGAUAGAAAUUGAAACGUUCUUUCGCAACUUUCACCCGAACUGAACUGACGUUCGUGGAUCGGAACGUUUCAGUGAUAGCCAUUCCAUGCUCAAACGAAGAUCGUAGGCGAAAAAAAUGUCACGAAUCGAGCGGUUCCCGUGGAACAUUUGCUAGCUGUGGUUGGUUGAAGAGUAACACGAUCUCCUGGAUCCAGUCGCUUUUAAUAUCUCUUGGGCUUGUUCACGAUUUUCGGAGGACAGCACUAACUCCCGUCGAGGAAUCAAACACUUUGCAAAUCGACUGUUACGUACAAGACAAAGAAGUUUGUAGUCACGAUUUAACUAUGAUUUCCGUCUUCGUGAUUCAUACGUAGUGUCAACUUCUCACAAUAGUCGUUUAUUCGUGUCAAUAUUUUCCGCUUAUAUACAUCGAAUAGAGUAUAAUCUGUUUACAGUUUCGAAGAUCUUAGACUUGAAAAACUGAUGAAGUUUCACUAGUAUAGAUAUUUGUAACCCGACGGAUUGUUCAUUCGUUAAUCUUUCUCGACUAUCCACGGAAAAUGAUAAAUUAUUGAAAAACACAAUAAUCAACGAAUACAAACAAGUAAGAAACAAUAACAAGGAAAAGCACGAAAAUAGGCGAACGUGGAUGACGCGUUGGACGCGAAAUUUGUUGAAAAAUAUUUUGACAAGUGUUUGACGUUCAAAUUCGCAAGGCAAACCGGACGAAGGCCUUCGCAACGUUUUGACUCGGAGCGUCGAGAAGAGACUGGCGAACGCCUUUCUGCCUCUGCCUGGGACAUCGCUGGGCAUCCCUUUCCACCAAUGACGAGGCUUCCUUACUGGUCUCACGGAGAGACUGUGAGUACCUUUACUCUUGAUAGGUUACCUUCGAGUUAACUCGAUAGGAUCGUAAACGUGCGCAUGCAUAUAAAUCACUCUUUCGAUCUUGGAAGUUGCAAGGAUUUUUGGACGAAUCUCGGUAACGGAGUCGGCCGAGAUCUGCCGUCGAGAAUCCAGGAAGUUUACGAGAAGUGGUCUCGAACCGAUUCUAUUUCGGAACGGAUCCCUUCUUGCCGUGUAAAUCUGUUUCAUUUAUAAUUCACUGUAUAAAUCUAUUCUAAAACAGAAAUACUUGUAUUCCUACUUAUCAAAAACAUGCUAAAAAAAUAAAUACGUAUCUUGUAUAAAAUAAUUGUAACGUUCCUUUUCAACGUUGCUGUUCAAAAUUAAUUACGUUUAAUAUAUUCGUAUUUGUAUUGUUUAAAUAGCAUUUGCAAUGCUUCCAACAUAACUAAAAAAGUUUGGGCACAACUAAACAGUUAUAUUUAAACUAUACUGUUAGUUGCUUUGUACGAUCUUUUGUUUUAUAUGUGUAGCGUGGUUUUGUGGUUAUAGGAAAAACUUCUAAAAAAUUUAUAAUACAGUGAUGGGUGUAAAUAUAUCGCGGAUUUUGUAAUUGGAGUCGUUUCGGCACUUUGGUCAUAAGUGGGCUGCGAACUUUUACGGAUUUACAGAAAAUUUGAGAAUGUAAACAUGCGCGGAUUAUAGGCAAUACGUAAAAUUGCAGUUUACUUAUAACUUUUAGUACUAUGUAGUUUAUAUUUGUAUCUUCUUAUAUCGCUACUUGGCAUUGACAGUGGCACACACUCAAAAAAUGUAAAUUCUAGAAGGAAUGUUUUUAAAAAUUUACAAAGAAAUCUUCGUACGUCAUUUCGAAGAUAUUAUAAGGCUGACUUAACACAAGAUAUGCCGAUAUUCGCGAAAGCAGUACAACCUUCCACUUUUCGCGUCAGAAAACAAAAACGAGCUAACAGUUGUUGUAAAACUAAGGCUUGGUUGACAGCGGCAUAACUACCUUUGACGCAAAACUGCUGGAAUUACAAGUAUGCCGUUUUACAUGAUAAAAGUAAAAACAUAAUACAAGACUUUUAUUCGAUAACAGCAAAUUUGACAUUUUUUGAGUUGUGACACUGUCAAUGCUAAGCAUCAAUACAGAAAUUCCUUCAUACAUAAAAGAAAUGGUCACCAAAGAUAUUCAAAUUUGAACAACGAUAUUGGAGCGCAUCGAGUGACCAAUAAGACGUUAGGUCGCACGAGACGCAUCGCAGAUGCGCCGCGGAUAUCGAUUCGCUGCGAUAUAUCGAUUGCGCGAAACAAUUAUUGCCAGUGCAGCUGGACGCGUGAUACCUGGCACAGGUUAGAAGCGUAUCGAAUCGAUUUAGAGAACGUGUUCCUUCUGCGUGUACCAUGGAAAAAAGCGGCGACUCUUUUCUUCACGGUGCGUUAUUGUCCACCAGCGAGUGCAAGAUCGAACGUCGAUAACUCAUUUCGAUGGCUGAACGAGUGCCGCCGCGCCGUGCACGCACAAUGCCGCGGUUCGCGCAGUCGAAAAAAGGUAAUUCAAGUUACACGAUCCUUUCGACCUUGUAUCUGCGUGUUCGUUCGUUGAUCGCGCGUGACCCAUGGCGUCUUCCUCUUCGCGAUGGAACGCAAGAUCUCUUAUCGAGAGUCUGAUCUCGAUCGUGUCGCGGUUUUCAAGGGAAUGACCGUUUAACCUUACCAAACUCGAGGAACCAGCCUUGACGCGACGUUGACGGGUCGGUUAAAGUUUCAAAGCGAUUCUCGUUUGUAGAUUUUCCCGCGAUUUCUCUUAUCCUACGUUUUAUCUACAAUGCCAUUCUUUCCAAAAGGUACGAUCGUUUAACCUUACUAAAUCCGGAGGACAGGCAGCGCCACGAUGUCAACGUUCGAGUUGACGUUUUGUCUUGGUUAUCUUUUGCAAAUUUCACUCUGACGUGACAUAAGUUACAUUACGUGUAUUGUGUAUUGUUAUGGCUUAGCGAGUAUGGUCGUUUAACCUAAAAGAGCAAGGUGGAUUUCACGAAGUUUGACAGGAAUGUCGAGGUUUCGAAAGAAUGAUAUUAUACAAGGUUUUUCUACGAAAGACGCUAUCGAUAAUGUAUUAUUCAACGUCUGCGAUUCUUGACCACGGGAACAAGGAAUUUCGAGGACCUACAUACAUGCACACCGUUUGUUACCUGGUUGGCAUUGCGACGUGAAAUGUUUCACAGGUAUCGAAUCGCUGAUGCAAUUGGCCAUCGGUAAUACCUUGCUCGAGAGGAAUAUACGAGAAAUACAAAUGCUGUUGGUGGAAGGGGUACAGCAAGAUUUUAGCUUGGAAAAGCGUAAAUGAAACGUGAAGGGUGCACGACGCGAAGCGAAGCUAUUUCCACGACAUAAUUACGAUCACUUUAGGAAACGACGGAGAAACGUUGUUCUUGGGUCCGUUCAACGUCGUGCUAGAUUUUCUCGAGUCAACGUUUAUCUUUUUAAUCCGUUUCGUAAAUAAUUUCCACUGGUAGAACUUUAAGGGAGAUGGAUAGGGUAAAAUUGAAAAAUCCAUCUCGUUGCUCUUGUUACAAAAGGCUUCCGCUAUGAGACACGAAAAACGCGGAUGCGUCAGGCGAGAAGAUCGACGGAUCCCGGAGGCUAUAAAUCCAAUUAAAAUUGGAAAGUUGUGCGGCUGUUGUAACUGUGGCAGCUCGCGGCCGAUUUGAGGGCGCACAAAGCUCGUCCGCUCGGCGUGUGUCGGCGAGCAAUAUUCGCGAGGACGCGUAGGAUAGAGCAUCAUCGUCCAGGAAUGUUUGUUUGCGAAAUUCGCCGCUGUAGAGCGGCCAAACGGUGCUUUUCAUUACGCGAAGCCCUAUACACAGGACCCUUUUCGUUGGACCGCCGCCCACAGCGUCGCUCUCAACGAUGUCCAGGGUUUACGUUGCCCUAGCUGCCCUUUCACUUCGUCACGCCUCUUUCCACACUCUAUCUAUGCAACUAGUAUCAGUCUUUUUUAUUACUAUGUUAUUUUAUUUACAGAGAUUUACUUGUACUGUUUUAAAGAUCAAUGGUAGGUUUUUAUUUACCAGAUCUUAUAUUUCUUCCGUUAUUUAUUAAACCUCCACCUUCUAUUUCUGUUGUUUUAUGUCUAUUACGAGGAAGCUUAAUAAAUACAAUUGCGAACGCACAAUUUGUUUCGUAAAUUAAGAACCUAUAGAUCUAGAACCUUUGUAUAGAAUCCAGCACGGAUUUGCCAUACUAAUUGCAAGAAUAUUAGUGGAUCGUAAAAGCACAUUGGUAAGAGUGACUUGAUUCGAAUCGAAUUAGGGUUGGUAUUUGUCGGUUUACUCGAAUUAAUGGAAAAAUUGGAGCUGCCUUCUUGUUACAGCGGUCCCUUCGAUUAGUAGACGUGACCAUACGAGAUUGAAGUAAAUCUAAUUCAUUACUGUCAAUCGGACACAUAUUCUCGCCAGCUCGGUACAGUACUUUUACUUUUACGACUGUUUCUAGCUUGAAAUUCAACCGUCUGAUUGGUCGGUACGAGGAUCGUUAGUUUAGAAGCGGGACGCACUCUCGCUCAAAGUAGAAUACUUAACGAGUUGGCUACUGAGCUAGCCACGUACUCUGUUCUAAGAAUAGAGGAACAUACUUCAAUGAACACGUCAUCCAUCGUCAUUCAUCGCUACGAAUUCAGGCCAUCGAGUUUUGAUAAAACUCAUUCCCCGUUCGAACCGACCGUUUCGCGAGGCUUCUCCCUCUGGUGCUCCGUGCAUCUUGUGUCGUCGCGAAAGCAACUAAAAGCAGCAACCGGCGAGACGUUUCUCCGUCCGACGCGUAUGAUAUCUCGAUGUCCACGCGCGCAGAUACCCUCUCGUUCUACGCUUUAUAACUGGAGAGGGACGAUCUAAUAUUAGUUCCAGCGACCCGUGAAAUCGUCACUCUGUUUUCACGAUGUCGACCCUCUUGCAACUAUAACGAAGAACGGCUCUUUGACUUGUAUUCGUUCGACUCUCGAGAAAGAGAUCCGUAAAUUAAUAAUCGAACCGGGUUCGUCUACCUCCUGAUUCCAGACUCGUUUUGCUCGAUCAAACGAAAGGAAAACACGGUUUGUCGAUGACAAGAACGAUAAACCUUUGUUUUGCUCUUCUGUACGAUGGAACGGUCCGCGCGAGAGUUCUAUGGCUAGUUUCACACAGGAAUAUGUGUACCACGAUAAGCAUUCAGUGUUUCUAGUCACGUUCUAAAAGUUCGUAUGGAUUCUAUGAAGUGUCAGUCGUGAAUUAGAGAUAAACAUGGAAUUAGAGCGAUGCGAGUAUAUCUCUCGUUUCAGUUUAAAUUUAGUACAACAUUUGAUUCGAAUUAUGGGAAAAGA